rnacentral:tRNA from 1 species
GAGGGUGUAGCUCAGUGGUAGAGCACAUGCUUAGCACGCACGAGGUCCUGGGUUCAGUCCCCAGUACCUCCA